GUCAACCGUUCUCGCGCCAUUUCGUUUCGGCAAAGUUUUACAGAAAUUUUACUUUGGUUGAGUGUUAUCUACCUCGUUGUGAAAUUUAAUUGUGUCUAAAGCCCUGAAGAAGAAUAAUGAUCUCGAGAAUUAGGAUUUUACAAGCCAAGUUCUUUACAAAAUAACUAAUGUUACUGUCGCUUAAAAUACAGAAAAUGACGCAGUCGGGGCCUCAGGUGAAUAGUUUACACAUCUAAGCACAUAGAAAGCACACGUAUGAUUGUGCACGACACUCGCUUUAUAACUCAAGGAACACAUUGGUCUUGGUAGUUUAAGUAUCUUGAGAAGAUUUCUAAAAAAACCACUAGUGCACGACUGGUAAUGAAGCAAAUGAAGGCAAAUCAUCCCGAAGGAGAACUGGAGAGAUAGGAUCACCUAUAAAAAUGAUUGUAUCCUGAAUAAAGUAGACUUUGAGUCCCAUCUUAAUGCUACAAGCACAGAAUGGGAUAGAAGGGUGGCAACUCCUCUGAUUGUAAAAAGAUGAGGCAUGAUGGUGAUCAAGGAGAACCAUUGAGAAGCUCCUCCCCUCUAUCUUAGAGCCAUAAAACAGAAAUUUGGUGAUGCCCAAAUGAAUAAGAGGUGGUCUCAAAUAAGGCUCUACUUGAAUAAAAAAAUUGCUUGGAUUCCAAGAGAAAAGUUCAAAAUGUAGAGGGCAAUGUUGACAAGUCCGUAGACUGAAUGAACUAAGGCUUGGUUGAUAU